rnacentral:misc_RNA from 1 species
GAUGAAGAACUUAGCGAAAUGCGAUACGUAAUGUGAAUUGCAGAAUUCAGUGAAUCAUCGAAUCUUUGAACGCAUAUUGCGCUCUCUGGUAUUCCGGAGAGCAUGCUUGUUUGAGUAUCAGUAAACACCUCAACUCUUUUUUCUUUUUUGAAAUUGGAGCUGGACUUGAGUGAUCCCAACGCUUUCUUCCAAGAAAGUGGCGGGUUGCUUGAAAUGCAGGUGCAGCUGAACUUUUCUCUGAGCUAUAAGCAUAUCUAUUUAGUCUGCCUAAAAAACAGAUUAUUACCUUUGCUGCAGCUAACAUAAAGGAGACUAGUUCUUGUGCUGACUGAUGCAGGAUUCACAGAGACAGCUUCGGCUGACUUUGUAAACUCGAUCUCAAAUCAAGUAAGACUACCCGCUGAACUUAAGCAUAUCAAUAAGCGGAGGA